GCUGGGCGUGGUGAUGCAUGCCUGUAGUCUCAGCUACUAGGGAGGCUGAGGCAGGAGAAUCGCUUGAACCCAGGAGGUGGAAGUUGCAGUGACCCGAGAUUGCACCACUGCACUCCAGCCUGGGUGACAGAGCAAGACUCUGCCUCUC
ensembl:misc_RNA Metazoa_SRP Metazoan signal recognition particle RNA